UACGUAGGGUGCAAGCGUUGUCCGGAAUUAUUGGGCGUAAAGCGCACGUAGGCGGCUUUUUAAGUCAGAGGUGAAAUCCUGGAGCUCAACUCCAGAACUGCCUUUGAUACUGAGAAGCUUGAGUCCGGGAGAGGUGAGUGGAACUGCGAGUGUAGAGGUGAAAUUCGUAGAUAUUCGCAAGAACACCAGUGGCGAAGGCGGCUCACUGGCCCGGUACUGACGCUGAGGUGCGAAAGCGUGGGGAGCAAACAGG
rnacentral:rRNA from 1 species